AAAGGAAUUGACGGGACCCCGCACAAGCGGUGGAUCAUGUUGUUUAAUUCGAGGAUACGCGAAGAACCUUACCAGGCCUUGACAUACUCUGCAAAGCUAUAGAGAUAUAGUGGAGGUUAACAGAGAUACAGGUGGUGCAUGGUUGUCGUCAGCUCGUGUCGUGAGAUGUUGGGUUAAGUCCCGUAACGAGCGCAACCCUUGUUGCUAGUUGCCAUCAUUAAGUUGGGGACUCUAGCGAGACUGCCAGUGAUAAACUGGAGGAAGGUGGGGAUGACGUCAAAUCAUCAUGCCCCUUAUGGCCUGGGCUACAAACGUGAUACAAUGGCUGGAACAAAGAGAUGCGAAAGGGCAACCUGAAGCGGAACUCAUAAAGACAGUCUCAGUUCGGAUUGGAGUCUGCAACUCGACUCCAUGAAGUCGGAAUCGCUAGUAAUCGCAGGUCAGCAUACUGCGGUGAAUACGUUCUCGGGGUUUGUACACACCGCCCGU
rnacentral:rRNA from 1 species